rnacentral:rRNA from 1 species
CAGGCUUAACACAUGCAAGUCGAGGGGCAGCAUGGUCUUAGCUUGCUAAGGCCGAUGGCGACCGGCGCACGGGUGAGUAACACGUAUCCAACCUGCCGUCUACUCUUGGACAGCCUUCUGAAAGGAAGAUUAAUACAAGAUGGCAUCAUGAGUCCGCAUGUUCACAUGAUUAAAGGUAUUCCGGUAGACGAUGGGGAUGCGUUCCAUUAGAUAGUAGGCGGGGUAACGGCCCACCUAGUCUUCGAUGGAUAGGGGUUCUGAGAGGAAGGUCCCCCACAUUGGAACUGAGACACGGUCCAAACUCCUACGGGAGGCAGCAGUGAGGAAUAUUGGUCAAUGGGCGAGAGCCUGAACCAGCCAAGUAGCGUGAAGGAUGACUGCCCUAUGGGUUGUAAACUUCUUUUAUAAAGGAAUAAAGUCGGGUAUGGAUACCCGUUUGCAUGUACUUUAUGAAUAAGGAUCGGCUAACUCCGUGCCAGCAGCCGCGGUAAUACGGAGGAUCCGAGCGUUAUCCGGAUUUAUUGGGUUUAAAGGGAGCGUAGAUGGAUGUUUAAGUCAGUUGUGAAAGUUUGCGGCUCAACCGUAAAAUUGCAGUUGAUACUGGAUAUCUUGAGUGCAGUUGAGGCAGGCGGAAUUCGUGGUGUAGCGGUGAAAUGCUUAGAUAUCACGAAGAACUCCGAUUGCGAAGGCAGCCUGCUAAGCUGCAACUGACAUUGAGGCUCGAAAGUGUGGGUAUCAAACAGGAUUAGAUACCCUGGUAGUCCACACGGUAAACGAUGAAUACUCGCUGUUUGCGAUAUACGGCAAGCGGCCAAGCGAAAGCGUUAAGUAUUCCACCUGGGGAGUACGCCGGCAACGGUGAAACUCAAAGGAAUUGACGGGGGCCCGCACAAGCGGAGGAACAUGUGGUUUAAUUCGAUGAUACGCGAGGAACCUUACCCGGGCUUAAAUUGCAGAUGAAUUACGGUGAAAGCCGUAAGCCGCAAGGCAUCUGUGAAGGUGCUGCAUGGUUGUCGUCAGCUCGUGCCGUGAGGUGUCGGCUUAAGUGCCAUAACGAGCGCAACCCUUGUUGUCAGUUACUAACAGGUUCCGCUGAGGACUCUGACAAGACUGCCAUCGUAAGAUGUGAGGAAGGUGGGGAUGACGUCAAAUCAGCACGGCCCUUACGUCCGGGGCUACACACGUGUUACAAUGGGGGGUACAGAGGGCCGCUACCACGCGAGUGGAUGCCAAUCCCCAAAACCUCUCUCAGUUCGGACUGGAGUCUGCAACCCGACUCCACGAAGCUGGAUUCGCUAGUAAUCGCGCAUCAGCCACGGCGCGGUGAAUACGUUCCCGGGCCUUGUACACACCGCCCGUCAAGCCAUGGGAGCUGGGGGUACCUGAAGUGCGUAACCGCGAGGAGCGCCCUAGGGUAAAACUGGUGACUGGGGCUAAGU